GUCCAAAGAACAAUGAUGUACUCUUUUCCAAGCACAUAUCUGACCAAUCCAUGUGGAAAACAUUUCUGAGUUUUUUGGAC
ensembl:snoRNA